AGGCCCUGCGCUAGCGGCGCGUAGAGCACUACCUUGACAUGGUAGGGGUCACAAGUUCGAUCCUUGUACCGCCCACCA
rnacentral:tRNA from 1 species